rnacentral:rRNA from 1 species
AUGCAAGAACAGGGGACAAGAUCCAAGUCAUGUUCUGCAAACACUUUGGUACAUGGGGCAAUUUUUGUAACUAGAAGAUUAGGGGGGAAGGAGGAGAGCUCCCCAACGCUACGCCAUGGCAUCCGACGGUGGCUGGGGAAGGAGUUGCACAGGAGAUCUGGGCUGGUGGGCGUUGGGUUUUCUAGUGGUGGGUGGAGGGGAGGAUCACGUGAGGGAAAGGAUGGUUGGUUGUCGAGACGUGGCAACAAGCGAGGGAAAUUGGACUUGCCUUUUUUAGCACAUGGGGUGGGGGACCGAUAG